GAUGAACGCUGGCGGCGUGCUUAACACAUGCAAGUCGAACGAUGAAGCCCAGCUUGCUGGGUGGAUUAGUGGCGAACGGGUGAGUAACACGUGAGUAACCUGCCCUCAACUCUGUGAUAAGCCUUGAAAACUGGGUCUAAUACCGGAUAGGAGCGUCCACCGCAUGGUGGGAGUUGGAAAGAUUUAGCGGUUUUGGAUUGGCACGCGGCUUAUCAGCUUGUUGGUGAGGGAAUGGGUCACCAAGGCGACGGCGGGUAGCCGGCCUGAGAGGGUGACCGGCCACACUGGGACUGAGACACGGACCAGACUCCUACGGGAGGCAGCAGUGGGGAAUAUUGCACAAUGGGCGCAAGCCUGAUGCAGCGACGCCGCGUGAGGGAUGACGGCCUUCGGGUUGUAAACAGCUUUCAGUAGGGAAGAAGCGAAAGUGACGGUACCUGCAGAAGAAGCACCGGCUAACUACGUG
rnacentral:rRNA from 1 species